rnacentral:tRNA from 1 species
UUUAAUAAGUCUUCAGAGCUUUGUAAGAGCUCAUCAUAAUUUGCUGU